GGUCCAGAACAUUGAGGCAGUUAUAUACCGGUUAAAAUAUUACAUUUCGUAACACUUUACCCAAUACAUUUAGUGUGUUCCCUCAGGCCACUACUACACAAUCACAUAUUUACAAUACAACAUCCUUGUGUAUGUGUGUGUAGAGUGCGUGCCUUAUCAUGUGUAUGUUAUUUCGGUAAGGAAAAGUAGAGUUUUAAAACCACAGAUGAGGUCUAAACUACAGUGCCUUGCGAAAGUAUUCGCCCCCCUUGAACUUUGCGACCUUUUGCCACAUUUCAGGCUUCAAACAUAAAGAUAUAAAACUGUAUUUUUUUGUGAAGAAUCAACAACAAGUGGGACACAAUCAUGAAGUGGAACAACAUUUAUUGGAUAUUUCAAACUUUUUUAACAAAUCAAAAACUGAAAAAUUGGGCGUGCAAAAUUAUUCAGCCCCUUUACUUUCAGUGCAGCAAACUCUCUCCAGAAGUUCAGUGAGGAUCUCUGAAUGAUCCAACGUUGACCUAAAUGACUAAUGAUGAUAAAUACAAUCCACCUGUGUGUAAUCAAGUCUCCGUAUAAAUGCACCUGCACUGUGAUAGUCUCAGAGGUCCGUUAAAAGCGCAGAGAGUGUCAUGUAUUGUCAUGUUGUGUCCUGUUCCUGUUCUUUCUCUUCACCCUGUCUCCCUCUGCUGGUCGUAUUAGGUUACCUUUUCUUCCCCUCUUUCCCCCAGCUGUUCCUUGUCUUCUCUAACUACCUCGUUCACCCCUUUUCCCACCUGUUCCCUUUUUCCCCUAACUACCUCGUUCACCCCUUUUCCCACCUGUUCCCUUUUUCCCUCUGAUUAGGUCCCUAUAUCUCUCUCUGUUUCUGCUUCUGUCUUUGUCGGAUUCUCGUUUGUGUUACUCAUGCCUGAACCAGACUAUCGUCGUGUUUGCUGCAACCUUGUCCUGUCCUGUCGGAAUCUGCCUGUUCAGCUAACCUUGUCCUGUCCUGUCGGAAUCUGCCUGUCCAUCUGAGCCUACGUGUGUUUCGUCAUUAAAGAAACUCUGUUUUGUUAAUUCGCUUUUGGGUCCUCAUUCA
rnacentral:lncRNA from 13 species